rnacentral:rRNA from 1 species
GACGAACGCUGGCGGCGUGCCUAAUACAUGCAAGUAGAACGCUGAAGGAGGAGCUUGCUUCUCUGGAUGAGUUGCGAACGGGUGAGUAACGCGUAGGUAACCUGCCUGGUAGCGGGGGAUAACUAUUGGAAACGAUAGCUAAUACCGCAUAAGAGUAGAUGUUGCAUGACAUUUGCUUAAAAGGUGCAAUUGCAUCACUACCAGAUGGACCUGCGUUGUAUUAGCUAGUUGGUGGGGUAACGGCCCACCAAGGCGACGAUACAUAGCCGACCUGAGAGGGGGAUCGGCCACACUGGGACUGAGACACGGCCCAGACUCCUACGGGAGGCAGCAGUAGGGAAUCUUCGGCAAUGGACGGAAGUCUGACCGAGCAACGCCGCGUGAGUGAAGAAGGUUUUCGGAUCGUAAAGCUCUGUUGUAAGAGAAGAACGAGUGUGAGAGUGGAAAGUUCACACUGUGACGGUAUCUUACCAGAAAGGGACGGCUAACUACGUG